rnacentral:tRNA from 1 species
GGGGUUGUGGCUCAAUGGUAGAGUGCUCACCUUGUAAGUGUGAGGCACUAGGUUCAAUACUCAGCAUCA